GAACCACGGAGCGCUUGUCCUGGAAGUCGAGUUUCACCAGGUCACGGACCUGGAGCGCAGGAACCACGGAGCGCUUGUCGUGGAAGUCGAGUUCCUGCAGGUAGCGGACCUGGAGCGGAGAAACUACGGAGCGCUUGUCCUGGAAGUCGAGUUUCACCAGGCAGCGGACCUGGAGCAUAGAAACCACGGAGCACUUGUCGUCGAACUCGAGUUGCACCAGGAAGCGGACCCGGAGUG